GCUGACACAUUCCAGCCAAUCAGCAGCAGACCCUCCCUCCCAGACCCUCCCACCUCCUGGACAGCUCACUAAGAAUGCAGCUUCAAAAUGGAUGCUGUCCAGGAGGUGGGAGGGUCUGGGAGGGAGGGUAUGCUGCUGAUUGGCUGGAAUGUGUCAG